rnacentral:rRNA from 1 species
AGUGAACGCUGGCGGUAGGCCUAACACAUGCAAGUCGAACGGCAGCACAGUAAGAGCUUGCUCUUACGGGUGGCGAGUGGCGGACGGGUGAGGAAUACAUCGGAAUCUACUUUUUCGUGGGGGAUAACGUAGGGAAACUUACGCUAAUACCGCAUACGACCUACGGGUGAAAGCAGGGGAUCCUCGGACCUUGCGCGAUUGAAUGAGCCGAUGUCGGAUUAGCUAGUUGGCGGGGUAAAGGCCCACCAAGGCGACGAUCCGUAGCUGGUCUGAGAGGAUGAUCAGCCGCACUGGAACUGAGACACGGUCCAGACUCCUACGGGAGGCAGCAGUGGGGAAUAUUGGACAAUGGGCGCAAGCCUGAUCCAGCCAUACCGCGUGGGUGAAGAAGGCCUUCGGGUUGUAAAGCCCUUUUGUUGGGAAAGAAAAGCAGCAGGUUAAUACCCCGCUGUUCUGACGGUACCCAAAGAAUAAGCACCGGCUAACUUCGUG